GGAUAUGUUAUAUUGGAGUGUUGAUAGCACCACCCGGUGUACCUCCUUGACACUAUGGAUACUUAGAAACGAUUGAUAUCCAUAUUGGAACCCGAGCACCCUUGAUAGGGUGUUACCGUAGGCCCUUGUCGGGCAGUCUACGUGCAUAGGACUUAGUUCAGCCGCACGAGUAUUGAGGAUUCUGCUGUGCAUGUCUGGGAGCCCAAUCCCCUGGUUGGAUUGCUCAUCCCUAG
rnacentral:lncRNA from 1 species